GGACACAACGGUAAACUCGUUCAAAUACAUUAUAUGUUUAUGAACAAGAACAUGCAUUUAGAUAACGGUUUUGAUAAUGGUAUAGUAGUAGAACUUUGUGGUCAGUCACCUUUAGUGAGAGAAGACUGCGUCUUAGUCUACAUUUAAUACAUUAACUAUAGUAUUAUAGGUAGUAUAGUUAUCAACAAAUGUAUUUAUGAAAUUAAAGUAAUUCAAAAAGUUGUAAAUUAUUUUCAUCCAAACUUGUUUUUUUUAAAGGCGUAAUGAUCAAAAUUCAAGCUUAAGUGCCUUUCAAAAACUCGUGUUAAGUAAAAAAAUAAUAUAAGCCAUGUCUGAAGAAUAAUAUAAUCCAAAAAAAUGAAUCAUAACAACUUGUCCGAGUAAUUAUUUUUAAUUGCGGUUAUGGAGCUUGUAGAAGAUCCUUGGGGUCGAUAUUGGACAUAGUCUGGUUCUACUUGUCUCCAGUAUGUAACAACAUACCCUUAAGCGAGCAAGUUAAAAAAUCUUUGAAUUAAAAUUGAAUAAUUAUUGUGGUCGUAUUCGCAAACCGAUGCAAAAGGUGCAGAGAUGUAGUCCCGUGUCAGAGGAGUUUGUACUCGUUUACAUAUUGUCUUUUUUUAACAAAUCAAGAAAUGGUAUUGGUGUUUAUAAAUAUAUUUAAGUGAUGAAGAAAUUAGAUGUAGUGGCGACAAAAAAAUUGAAUACCCAUCGACACUACAUAUAAGACUCACAAUGAACAAAUAAAAUAUGACAACAUUAACAUAAGAAGUGACGAUAGUGAUAAACCGGUAGCCGUCGAAGAUCAGCCCCCCGCUUGACUAUAAUAGAUCGGAAACAAAUCCACUUAGUGUUUCCUUGUCGGUGGGGUUCAACGACUGUUCAACAAUCUGGUGAGGGACGUUCCACGAACCAGGAAAAGUCUGAGCUGUUGGUUCUGGUCAAAACGGUGACCCAGUGUCGAGGGAGGCCACACGCGCGCUCUCCUGCGCACGGAUUAUGUGUGUGAACGCGUCGACUGCGCAGUGGAGAAGCCGGCCAGCGUAUAUGGCCGAGGCCAACAACCUGACUAGUAGGUCACAGUGGCACGGCGCUCGGCCGUUCGGCCAUUGACUCAAGUGACGUCACCAGUGUCCAACCCGCUGUGGUGGUACGCUGGCUCCCGCCCCGCACUCGGCCCUCUAGUGUCUAUGUUUACGACUUAAACGUACCGUAAUAAUAAUAACACCUAUGUUAUGGUAAUAUAAAAUAAUAGAUAAUAAUUUAUCAUUUCUAUUACCUACUUGUUUUAUUGCAUCUGUACUACUAUAAGCAUAAUACCAUACGGGCGCUGCCGUGCCGGUAUGGAAUGUCCAACGCGACGACCGCUGGUCCAUCGCAUUUUAGGCACGACAACAGUAAUAGACGACGAUCGUAACCGGAGAGUACGUCUCCUAGAGUGUGUUCUGUAGAUGCGCAUGGCUUACAGCAGACAGUUGUCUGUUGUGGGUCGAUGUUCACUAGGAGAAACCAGCUGGGCCGUGCACGCAUAUAUUGGCACCGUGCUGUUACGCUUUUCGGCAGGCCUAAAACAGUAGCGAUUACUUAUAUUACAGGAGAGAACAGAUGCUGAGCAGACGGGCACAACGAUGAUGUGAUGUAAUAUAUAAUUAGCUCUAUUAUUACCAUGCCGGCAAUAAGACACACGACCGCGCACACUACCUAAUUUAUCAAUAUCUCGAAUGCAGUAGCUUAAUUAAAACAUCAUACAUCAAUUAAAUACUUGAGAAUUAUCGUUAUUUUUAUUGUUUCAGAAUCUCUCGGACAAGAUUUCCCCAACCGUUUACGUCUUGGAACCUCAUGUCCCGUUCACGUAUUGUGGAAAGUUGUAAAGAACAAUUAAUCGUCAUUACAUUUACAACAAAUUGUCUAGCAAUUAGAAAAAUAAUUACCAGUAAUUUUUAUGAGCGAUUAUCGAUUGCUAGAGAUUAUUUCAACUGAGAGCACUUCCGAUUACUCGUGCUGAAUAACUAUCAGCAUAGCGAUGACGUUACACGUUAGAAUAUUGUAUAAAAAAUUAGUGCUAGUCACUCGGUGGGCUAUUUCACUUGGAAAAUAUUAGGUUAGGUCAUACGACAAUGUCAUGAAAAAAUGAAAAUAUUUGUACAUUUUUUCGUCAAAAGAACCAUUAAAGAAGAUUGGGCAAUCAAUAAUAAUAUUUUUUUAACAUUUCCGAUAGGUGAUUUACGAAUAUAGAUAUAGCACAAAAAACGUUAUUUAACGAUGCAUCUAUAGAGUUAUGCACGUUCGCGACAGAGCGUUGAGGUCUCGACUACUUGGCAGAAUCGACGGCAAGUAUUUAUUUUCAACAAGUAUCCUAAUACUGUAUUUUUCCUCAUCCAAUAUUAUUUAUAGUAAUUUACCUAAUGUUGUAUUUCUAAUAAAAUUCUUAAUGAAAUAAAUUUGAAGUUAUUUAAUACUGGAGAAGCAUCAGUUCUUAACAAAUAACCUAUUUUGGCGGAAAAUGUUAGGGAACACACUUCAACGUCACUCUGUUGUGUUCGAUAUACAUUCAUGCGCACGUUGAAAUUUUGAUCUUACAAUUUGGUUUAACGAAAUAUUCAGAAAUGACUUAGCAAGAAAAAACGUUAAAUAUAUCGAAAAAGUAAAAAGUCAGAUACAUUUGACUUAUCCGAAAAUAUUUUUUUAAUUCGAUGUGAAAAAUUUUUUGUUGCUUUAUGAUAUCGGAACUAUGACCUCGUGCGCCGCAGUGAAUUUGUGAUCACUUCGCAAUUGUAUAGCAUUAAUUAAAAAUUACUACACAUUUUUUAACAUAAAAAUUAUACAAAUGUCUUGCACCUGUUUCUAAAUCAACGUGUAUAUGGUAAUAACAGUGUAAUACACAAUAGCCAAUGUAUUUAUUAUUCUAAAGGUCAUAUUUAUGGUUUUAUGACGAUUUUUUUCAGUAAGUGCAUUUAACCAUAUAGAAGAUAUUUUGUACAUGUUGUGUUAUGAUAAGUGACGGUUUUAGUGCAGUGGACAUUUACAUGGGAACUAAAUAUUUUAUUUAUUAUACAAAUAACGACGUUUUUUAUACACACUGGUAAUAAAUAAUUUUUGGUUACUUUAUAACCAACCGAGUGGUAUAAAAAUAUUGUAUACAUAAUGGAAACAAGCAAUAAAAUCAAAUAAUUAAUGAGGGUUAAAAAAAAACUACUGAAAGUAUUUAACAAAUGAUAAAAGUAGUCCAUUUAUUCAGAAUAAUAAAAUGACACAUUUGCAUUUUACGAGCAGUUAAACAUGUUGACAAAAAAAGAAAUAUCAUAAUUGAAUAUAACGGAAAGCGGACGAAGCCUGAUCACUAAAAUUAAUUAAAUUGUUUAUGGCCAAUAGAACACAUGUGACUGGAUUAAACAUUUGUAUUAUUUACCGGGAGUUUCGUAUUUUUUUUUUUAUGUUCCAAGUUAU